rnacentral:rRNA from 1 species
GGGGAAUAUUGCACAAUGGGGGAAACCCUGAUGCAGCAACGCCGCGUGAAGGAUGAAGGUUUUCGGAUUGUAAACUUCUUUAGUCAGGGACGAAAAAAAUGACGGUACCUGAAGAAUAAGCCACGGCUAACUACGUGCCAGCAGCCGCGGUAAUACGUAGGUGGCAAGCGUUGUCCGGAAUUACUGGGUGUAAAGGGCGUGUAGGCGGGAAUGUAAGUCAGAUGUGAAAUCCCAGGGCUUAACCCUGGAGCUGCAUCUGAAACUAUGUUUCUUGAGUGCCGGAGAGGAAAGCGGAAUUCCUAGUGUAGCGGUGAAAUGCGUAGAUAUUAGGAGGAACACCAGUGGCGAAGGCGGCUUUCUGGACGGUAACUGACGCUGAGGCGCGAAAGCGUGGGGAGCAAAC